rnacentral:miRNA from 1 species
UAUUGGAUUGGUGCAAAAGUAAUUGCAGUUUUUGACAUUACUUUUAAUGGUAAAAACUGCAAUUACUUUUGCACCAGCCUAAAUAGUUA